rnacentral:rRNA from 1 species
AGGUAGCCUAACCGCAAGGAGGGCGCCUACCACGGUGAGAUUCAUGACUGGGGUG